rnacentral:rRNA from 1 species
UACGUAGGGCGCAAGCGUUGUCCGGAAUUAUUGGGCGUAAAGAGCGUGUAGGCGGCCAGACAGGUCCGUUGUGAAAACUCGAGGCUCAACCUCGAGACGCCGAUGGAAACCGUUUGGCUAGAGUCCGGAAGAGGAGAGUGGAAUUCCUGGUGUAGCGGUGAAAUGCGCAGAUAUCAGGAAGAACACCCGUGGCUAAGGCGGCUCUCUAGUACGGUACUGACGCUGAGACGCGAAAGCGUGGGGAGCGAACAGG